AGAGUUUGAUCCUGGCUCAGGAUGAACGCUAGCUACAGGCUUAACACAUGCAAGUCGAGGGGAAACGACAUCGAAAGCUUGCUUUUGAUGGGCGUCGACCGGCGCACGGGUGAGUAACGCGUAUCCAACCUGCCAAUCACUUGGGGAUAACCUUGCGAAAGUAAGACUAAUACCCGAUGAUAUCUCUAGACGACAUCUGAAAGGGAUUAAAGAUUUAUCGGUGAUGGAUGGGGAUGCGUCUGAUUAGCUUGUUGGCGGGGUAACGGCCCACCAAGGCAACGAUCAGUAGGGGUUCUGAGAGGAAGGUCCCCCACAUUGGGACUGAGACACGGUCCAAACUCCUACGGGAGGCAGCAGUGAGGAAUAUUGGUCAAUGGGCGAGAGCCUGAACCAGCCAAGUAGCGUGCAGGACGACGGCCCUAUGGGUUGUAAACUGCUUUUAUAAGGGAAUAAAGUGAGUCUCGUGAGACUUUUUGCAUGUACCUUAUGAAUAAGGACCGGCUAAUUCCGUGCCAGCAGCCGCGGUAAUACGGAAGGUCCGGGCGCUAUCCGGAUUUAUUGGGUUUAAAGGGAGCGUAGGCCGGAGAUUAAGCGUGUUGUGAAAUGUAGGCGCUCAACGUCUGCACUGCAGCGCGAACUGGUUUCCUUGAGUACGCACAAAGUGGGCGGAAUUCGUGGUGUAGCGGUGAAAUGCUUAGAUAUCACGAAGAACUCCGAUUGCGAAGGCAGCUCACUGGAGCGCAACUGACGCUGAAGCUCGAAAGUGCGGGUAUCGAACAGGAUUAGACACCCUGGUAGUCCGCACGGUAAACGAUGGAUGCCCGCUGUUGGCCUGAAUAGGUCAGCGGCCAAGCGAAAGCAUUAAGCAUCCCACCUGGGGAGUACGCCGGCAACGGUGAAACUCAAAGGAAUUGACGGGGGCCCGCACAAGCGGAGGAACAUGUGGUUUAAUUCGAAGCAACGCGAAGAACCUUACCUGCUCUUGACAUCUCCCUGACCGGCAAGUAAUGUUGCCUUUCCUUCGGGACAGGGAUGACAGGUGGUGCAUGGUUGUCGUCAGCUCGUGUCGUGAGAUGUUGGGUUAAGUCCCGCAACGAGCGCAACCCCUAUCUCUAGUAGCCAGCGGUUUGGCCGGGCACUCUAGAGAGACUGCCAGGGAUAACCUGGAGGAAGGUGGGGAUGACGUCAAAUCAUCAUGCCCCUUAUGAGCAGGGCUACACACGUGCUACAAUGGCGUAAACAAAGGGAGGCAGAACCGCGAGGUCGAGCAAAUCCCAAAAAUAACGUCUCAGUUCGGAUUGUAGUCUGCAACUCGACUACAUGAAGCUGGAAUCGCUAGUAAUCGCGAAUCAGAAUGUCGCGGUGAAUACGUUCCCGGGUCUUGUACACACCGCCCGUCACACCAUGGGAGUCAGUAACGCCCGAAGUCAGUGACCCAACCGUAAGGAGGGAGCUGCCGAAGGUGGGACCGAUAACUGGGGUGAAGUCGUAACAAGGUA
rnacentral:rRNA from 1 species